UGGGGAAUAUUGCACAAUGGGCGCAAGCCUGAUGCAGCCAUGCCGCGUGUAUGAAGAAGGCCUUCGGGUUGUAAAGUACUUUCAGCGGGGAGGAAGGCGAUAAGGUUAAUAACCUUGUCGAUUGACGUUACCCGCAGAAGAAGCACCGGCUAACUCCGUGCCAGCAGCCGCGGUAAUACGGAGGGUGCAAGCGUUAAUCGGAAUUACUGGGCGUAAAGCGCACGCAGGCGGUCUGUCAAGUCGGAUGUGAAAUCCCCGGGCUCAACCUGGGAACUGCAUUCGAAACUGGCAGGCUAGAGUCUUGUAGAGGGGGGUAGAAUUCCAGGUGUAGCGGUGAAAUGCGUAGAGAUCUGGAGGAAUACCGGUGGCGAAGGCGGCCCCCUGGACAAAGACUGACGCUCAGGUGCGAAAGCGUGGG
rnacentral:rRNA from 1 species